rnacentral:rRNA from 1 species
UACGUAGGGGGCAAGCGUUGUCCGGAUUUAUUGGGCGUAAAGAGCGUGUAGGCGGCCAUUCAGGUCAGCUGUGAAAACUCGAGGCUCAACCUCGAGACGUCGGUUGAAACCGUUUGGCUAGAGUCCGGAAGAGGAGAGUGGAAUUCCCGGUGUAGCGGUGAAAUGCGCAGAUAUCGGGAAGAACACCCGUGGCGAAGGCGGCUCUCUGGGACGGUACUGACGCUGAGACGCGAAAGCGUGGGGAGCGAACGGG